rnacentral:rRNA from 1 species
CCUACGGGGGGCAGCAGUGAGGAAUAUUGGUCAAUGGACGAGAGUCUGAACCAGCCAAGUAGCGUGAAGGAUGACUGCCCUAGGGGUUGUAAACUUCUUUUAUAAAGGAAUAAAACGAGGCACGUGUGCCUUUUUGCAUGUACUUUAUGAAUAAGGAUCGGCUAACUCCGUGCCAGCAGCAGCGGUAAUACGGAGGAUCCGAGCGUUAUCCGGAUUUAUUGGGUUUAAAGGGAGCGUAGAUGGGUUGUUAAGUCAGUUGUUAAAGUUUGCGGCUCAACCGUAAAAUUGCAAUUGAUACUGGCAGUCUUGAGUACAGUUGAGGUAGGCGGAAUUCGUGGUGGAGCGGUGAAAUGCUUAGAUAUCACGAAGAACCCCGAUUGCGAAGGCAGCUUACUAAACUGUGACUGACAUUGAUGCUCGAAAGUGUGGGUAUCAAACAGGAUUAGAUACCCGUGUAGUC